rnacentral:rRNA from 1 species
AUGAACGGCCCUGCUCCGGCCAUCGACAUCACAAAGCUACCAAAGCUUCCGCGCAUGGGACCGAAGCCACGAUCCAAGGUACUGGACAUAGUUCUGCCAAUAGCAUCCGGAGCGUUCGUCCUCACCUUAGGUGCCAUUGUUCUCCUAGUGCUUCGGAGACGUUUCCGGUACGCCGAGCUGCGAGAGGAUUGGGAGGUCGAGUUUGGUCCACAGCGGUUCUCGUACAAGGAUCUGUACCGUGCAACAGAAGGUUUCAGCGACACGCACCUGCUAGGAAUUGGAGGAUUUGGGAGGGUGCACAGGGGCAUCCUUCCGGUGUCUAGAAUGGAGGUUGCUGUGAAGAAGGUUGCACACGACCCCAAGCAGGGCAUCAAGGAAUUCAUCUCGGAGGUCGUGAGCAUAGGACGUCUUCAACACCGCAAUCUUGCGCCAUUGCUUGGCUACUGCCGACGAAGAGGCGAAUUGUUUCUGGUGUACGAGUACAUGCCAAAUGGGAGCGUUGACAAGUACUUGCACGGCAGAGAAGACAAACCCAUUUUGAAUUGGGCUCAAAGGUGGCACAUCAUCAAAGGCAUUGCAUCAUGCUUGGUCUACCUUCAUGAAGAGUGGGAGAAAGUGGUUAUCCACCGCGACAUCAAAGCCAGUAACGUCCUCCUCGAUGGUGGCAUGAAUGGAAGACUUGGUGACUUUGGCCUUGCAAGGUUGUACGACCACGAUGCCGACCCGCAAACCACACACGUGGUGGGAACCAUAGGAUACCUAGCUCCUGAGCUAGGGCAUACUAGCAAAGCGACACCUCUCACCGAUGUGUUUGCCUUUGGAGUGUUUGUUCUUGAAGUUACUUGUAGGCAGAGGCCCGUCAACCCAAACUUAGAGGAUAGACAAGUAUUGUUGGUCGAAUCGGUGCUCGACCAGUGGAACAAGGGAUCGCUCCUUGAUCCCGUGGAUAAGCAGCUUGGGGGCAACUACAACGCCGACGAGGCAUGUGUGGCUCUAAAGCUGGGCCUGCUAUGCUCUCACCCAUUCGCCAAUGCAAGGCCUACUAUGCGGCAGGUGAUGCAGUACCUUGAUGGCGACAUGCCAUUGCCAGAGAUGUCACCAACAUAUUUAAGCUUUCAGAUGAUGACUAUAAUGCAGAAUGAAGGAUUCGGCCAAUUCAUCAUGACGUAUCCUUCAUCAACAGCGAGUAUUGACAGCACAUCCGUCCUUAGAGUUGGGAGGUGA